UACCAGCUCUCCGAGUGGUGUGGAUGUUUAUUGGGCCUAAAGCAUCCGUAGCUGGCUAGGUUAGUCCCUUGUUAAAUCCACCGGAUUAAUCGUUGGAUUGCGGGGGAUACUGCUUGGCUAGGGAACGGGAGAGGCAGACGGUAUUUUCGGGGUAGGGGUGAAAUCCUAUAAUCCCGGGAAGACCACCAGUGGCGAAGGCUGUCUGCUAGAACGCGUCCGACAGUGAGGGAUGAAAGCGGGGGGAGCGAACCGG
rnacentral:rRNA from 1 species